rnacentral:rRNA from 1 species
AGCGAACGCUGGCGGCAGGCCUAACACAUGCAAGUCGAACGGAUCCUUCGGGAUUAGUGGCGGACGGGUGAGUAACACGUGGGAACGUGCCCUUUGGUUCGGAACAACUCAGGGAAACUUGAGCUAAUACCGGAUGUGCCCUUCGGGGGCAAGAUUUAUCGCCAUUGGAGCGGCCCGCGUCUGAUUAGCUAGUUGGUGAGGUAAAGGCUCACCAAGGCGACGAUCAGUAGCUGGUCUGAGAGGAUGAUCAGCCACAUUGGGACUGAGACACGGCCCAAACUCCUACGGGAGGCAGCAGUGGGGAAUCUUGCGCAAUGGGCGAAAGCCUGACGCAGCCAUGCCGCGUGAACGAUGAAGGUCUUAGGAUUGUAAAAUUCUUUCACCGGGGACGAUAAUGACGGUACCCGGAGAAGAAGCCCCGGCUAACUUCGUGCCAGCCGCCGCGGUAA